AUUGUUGUUGUUAAUUGAUUGUUUAGUUGAUUAUGGAAGAUUGUGAUGAUUUUGAGUUGUGAAUUGUGUAAAUGAUGAAUUUUGAGUUAGAAAUCUAGAAAGAACAGUAGAUUUUCUG